rnacentral:lncRNA from 10 species
GAAGGAAAGCGCAUGCGCGUCGGGCACAGCGCGUGCAGCCUCGUGCAGCUCUUCUGGUCUCCGGCGCCCGCCCCUCAGACGUAAUGUUGAAUUAAAGAAAAUACUUUAUCAGAAGAAGAUGGCCACUGCCCAGUUGCAGAGGACUCCCAUGUGUUCUACUUUCCCUUGAAUUUUAGAGUGCACUGGUAUUUCCCAAUAAGAUAUCAACUGAACACCAGUCUUUGGUGUUAGUGAAGAGGCUUCUAGCAGUUUCAGUAUCCUGUAUCACGUAUUUGAGGGGAAUAUUCCCAGAAUGCGCUUAUGGAACAAGAUAUCUAGAUGAUCUUUGUGUCAAAAUACUGAGAGAAGAUAAAAAUUGCCCAGGAUCUACACAGUUAGUGAAAUGGAUGCUAGGAUGUUAUGAUGCUUUACAGAAAAAAUAUGUAAGUCUUGCAAUCUCUUUAUCCUUUUUUUUCUACAGUUUAUGAUCUACAAAUAUAACUGGAGUUAUGAUGUAGUAAAACAUUCAUUUGAACUAACUUGAGUGUAGGUCAGUCUGAAUUACUGAAAAGCCUAAACAUUUGAAUAUUUUAAAGACUAAUCAUCAACUCAUUUAAAGAUAAUGGAAUUAACACUAAACAAAUUUUUCCAAGCUAGUUUUUUUAACACUUAUUUGUAUUAAUAACACGUGUUAACUUACAAAAAAGUUAAUGAAUUAAAGAGUCUUUUCAAAUAGUUUAUUCAUUAGUUUCACAUGCCUUCUACAAGCUUGUUUAUACUAAUAAUUUAAUAAAUUAUUU